rnacentral:rRNA from 1 species
AGAGUUUGAGUCCUGGCUCAGGAUGAACGCUGGCGGCGUGCCUAAUACAUGCAAGUCGAACGAGGUAGCAAUACCGAGUGGCGAACGGGUGAGUAACACGUAGGUAACCUGCCCUUAAGCUUGGGAUACCCAGAGGAAACUUUGGCUAAUACCGGAUAACAACAGAGAAGGCAUCUCUUUGCUUGAAAGGCCCCUUCAAGGGGUCACUUAAGGAUGGACCUGCGGCGCAUUAGCUAGUUGGUGAGAUAACAGCCCACCAAGGCGAGGAUGCGUAGCCGAACUGAGAGGUUGAUCGGCCACAUUGGAACUGAGACACGGUCCAAACUCCUACGGAGGCAGCAGUAAGGAGUUUUCGGCAAUGGGGGAAACCCUGACCGAGCAACGCCGCGUGAGCGAUGAAGGUCCUUUGGAUUGUAAAGCUCUGUUGUAAGCCAUGAAUGACAGCUUGAGGAAAUGCAAGUUGUUUGACGACAGCUUACCAGAAAGCCACGGCUAACUACGUGCC